rnacentral:misc_RNA from 1 species
UUGAAUCAUCGAAUUUUUGAACGCAAAUUGCGCUUCCUGGUAUCCCGGGCAGUAUGCCUGUUUGAGGGUCAGUAUUAACACAAAAUCGGUUUGGUUGCAAAUUGUGACGUUUCCGGAGUUUGGGCUUAUCUUAACUUUUUUGGUUAAGGGGCUUACAAUUGCCCUUUUUUGCGCAUUUUUAGACGUACAUAACUUUUUUUUUUUUUCUUCUAUUCUUAAUGCCAAAAUCUUCUUAUCUUCGAUCACAUCUUUUUGUUUCUUGUCCAUAAAUUUUUCAUGAUUUGACCUCAACUCCUGUA